rnacentral:tRNA from 1 species
GGGCGAGUGGCGAAAAGGCAUACGCACAACACUUAAAAUGUUGCGGUCUCAAAGACCAUGUGGGUUCGAUUCCCACCUCGCCCACCA